GUGAAAUUGUUGAAAGGGAAACGCUUGACACCAGUCAUGCGAGCGGAAAAUCAGUCUUUUGCAGUGGGGAGUUGUGUGGGUUCGGACCGCAAGGCCGGCCUGUGCUGCAUCUCUGCUGUAAGUGAUGCACUUUUUCGUUUGCAGGCCAACAUCAGUUUCUUCUGCUGGACAAAACUCUUGAGAAGGUAGCAGCUUUGGCUGUGUUAUAGCUCUUGAGCGAUACAGUGGAGGGGACUGAGGUUUUCGCAGCGCGUGCUCUCGGGCAAGGCUGAUUGGGUGCUAUGGGAUCGUUCGGUGUACAAUGCAUGCAUUUUGCGCCGUGUCUUUUCUAUACUCGCUCAACUCGGCUCUUCCGCGCUUAGGAUGUUGGCUUAAUGGUUUUAAUCGACCCGUCUUGAAACACGGACCAAGGAGUCUAACAUAUAUGCAAGUGUUUGGGUGGCAAACCCAUGCGCGUAAUGAAAGUGAACGUAGGUGCGAUCCGCAAGGUGCAGCAUCGACCGAUCUUGAUAUUUUUGGAUAGAUUUGAGUAAGAGCAUAUAUGCUGGGACCCGAAAGAUGGUGAACUAUGCCUGAAUAGGGGGAAGCCAGAGGAAACUCUGGUGGAGGCUCGUAGCGAUUCUGACGUGCAAAUCGAUCGUCAAAUUUGGGUAUAGGGGCGAAAAGAC
rnacentral:rRNA from 1 species